rnacentral:ribozyme from 14 species
ACGGAAAGAAAGUAAACGAGAAAUAAAAACAGGAAGAGUUUCGUGCUCGUCGCAGAAGAGGAGUAUCCUUCUCCUUCUUCUUCUUUCUUCCCAUUUUCUUCUUCCUCUUGUUCUCCUUCCGAAGA